rnacentral:rRNA from 1 species
AUUGAACGCUGGCGGCAUGCUUUACACAUGCAAGUCGAACGGUAACAGGCCGCAAGGUGCUGACGAGUGGCGAACGGGUGAGUAAUGCAUCGGAACGUGCCCAGUCGUGGGGGAUAACGCAGCGAAAGCUGUGCUAAUACCGCAUACGAUCUAUGGAUGAAAGCGGGGGACCGUAAGGCCUCGCGCGAUUGGAGCGGCCGAUGUCAGAUUAGAUAGUUGGUGGGGUAAAGGCCCACCAAGGCGACGAUCUGUAGCUGGUCUGAGAGGACGACCAGCCACACUGGGACUGAGACACGGCCCAGACUCCUACGGGAGGCAGCAGUGGGGAAUUUUGGACAAUGGGCGCAAGCCUGAUCCAGCAAUGCCGCGUGCAGGAAGAAGGCCUUCGGGUUGUAAACUGCUUUUGUGCGGAACGAAACGGUCUGGGUUAAUACCCUGGGCUAAUGACGGUACCGUAAGAAUAAGCACCGGCUAACUACGUGCCAGCCGCCGCCGUAACAC